CACAGCUGGAAGGAGUCUGGUCCUUGAAUCACCAUUUGGAGAAAAAACGUUUGUCAACCAGGAAUCCCCACUUUGGACUGUUGGGGUUGGGAGUGUGGGAAAUCUUUGUGUCUAAGCUCCAUGUGUUCCAGGGUCUGGUUGUUAGAGUCCUAAUCCAGUGCUCUCUCCAGCUGCAGAUGAUCCCAUCCUGCCUGCACAGCUUCUCCAGGGGAGAUAGACACACAGAAGCCCACGAGAGUCAAAUAAGAGCCAUACCUUCCAGGUCUCCAUGACACAGACAUCCUCCACCACACCUGUUAAGAAAGUCGAAAUCGUCACUGCCACCCACACUGGGGUUCUGCUUUCCUGAUUACACCUUUCUCAUCUCUAUCACCUAUGCCAGGAACCCAAACCCAAGUCUUCCCAGCUGUGUGCAGAAUCACAGUGGCCACACCAAGACAACAGGUGGGGUCAAUGUCACAGCCCAUUAGGCUGCAUCUGUGUCCACUGGCUCCCUCAUCAACCACACAAAACAAAACAGAGACUACACAACAAUCUACUCUCCCUGCUUUAUGUUUUGUCUUUCUAAAACGCCUACAUAUUCUUUGGGUCAGGGACGAUCAUGUCUCUUCUUCCCAUAUCUUCCCCAGUGCCCAGCAGCAGCAUAGUACACCUAAAGGUGCUGCACUCUUGAUGUGGAUGCUGAUGAAAAGGAGAGUAGAAAUAAUAACAAUAUGUUUCGACGGGGCAUGGUGGCUCAUGCCUGUAACCCCAGCACUUCGAGAGGCCAAGGCAAGAAGACC
rnacentral:lncRNA from 1 species